UGUGGAGUUGGUUUUUGAGCCCGUCCUAGGAGCCGCUGAGGAAAAAUGAAUGGGGGUGAAAGGAGAAGGUUGGGCGGCGGGAGGUCGCGAGACCUGAGGUCGCCUGGCUAGAGGGCCGCCGUCCCCCGGGGAGGGUUGACUGAGCCUGCCGCCUCGGGGGUGCAACGCUGGGGUCUCGGGGAAAGGAAACCACAGCCCGGACGAGCUUCCCCCCACUGAGCUGCCAGAAUAGUUUCCCCCUCCGGGGGCCACCGCAGAGUGCGCGGAGGCUGGAGACCCCUUGGAGAGGUCCCCGCGCCCCGCCCGGCCGGUCCUCCACGCGGCGCUGCCUCGGACUGCAAUGGCAAUGAAGCUUUUGCCUCUCAAAGAACUACUUAGAAGUAGGACAUCUCGGCCUUCAGCCCCUUCAUUUCUUUUUCCCCUUGUUCCUUCUCUCUUUAUCUCUCUCUCACUUAUGCCCUGCUUCAAAGUAACAGCUUUACGCGUGACCCCGCCUGCACCCUUAUCUGGGUGUCCUGGGUUUCGCCCAAAAGGUUGGGCUGAGUGGGAGCUUCUGGGAGCGCACGGUCCCGCGUAGGGUCCCGCUCACCCGGACCCCGAACGCCCUCGCCACGCCCCGGUGGGAUCCUCCCCUCCCCGCCUGGUUGCACUUUCUCCUCCCGACUUCCCAGCUAGCGCCUGCCCUCCAUGGAGCGGUGCUCGCUCCCUCUGCGCUCACAAGUCCCCUCUUUGGCCCUCUCCUGCCACGCCUGGGGCCGAGGUCUGAUUGAGUCUGUCCCUGUCCCUGGGUUGAGGCAUUGGGGGUGACGACUGGAUGAUGUUUCUGUGAUACGCGCGGCUCUGAGCGCUCCCACACGUUGCAGAGGACACAUUGACGUUCCCGGCUUCUCCUUCCCGCGCCUCGACACUUCAUAAUUACCUGACACAAUGCGAUAUGGGGGUGUCCAUUGUUCCACUGCAUGUUACUGUGGAGUGUUCGUUAUGACAGUGGUGGAACUUAAAAUUACACAAUUUUUUUAAGUUCCUAAAAGAAUGAAUUCCGUGUGGGGAUAUGAGUAAGCUUUCCAUUAAAUCUCAGUUUGGCCUGUCAAACGAGGCUCAUUCUGGGUAUUACAUCGCCUAAUUUGCAUUUUAGCAUUGUUUUGUUUCUUAAAUGUCACAUUAGAGAUACAUGGGCGUGUACGCAGGAGAGCUGAGUACCUCCACGUUGCCUAUUUUGCAUUUUAGCAUCAUUUUGUUUUUAAUAAACGCCAACUUAAAAACAUCUGGGAGUGCACCCAGGAGGGCUGAGUACCUCCUCCCUCCUGAUUUCUUCUCUUCCCCGUCCCGGGGAGGCGAGGGGAAGCUGCACCCUGCUCCCCGUGGCUGCCUAGAUCCUGGGCAAGCCAGGAGGCCAGAGCGAGCCAGGCUUUGCGCCUGCAAGGGGUCCGCGCGAGAAACACUUACGCCGAGGAAAAGUUAAAAUUCCUGGGACGCCCAAGAGUCAAGAGAGGAAGACUGAUGAGGUUUUAGGGGAGCUUUGCAGUACAGGCGUCCUGUAUUUGCGAUUUUCCCAGUAGCCUCUGAGAACCUAUCUAGGUACACUCAGGUCGUGAGCCGCGAGUCCUGUGGCCGGGUCUCAGAGCCCGCAGCAGCCCACAGCGCACCUACGACGACCCAAUAACGCGGAGAGGA
rnacentral:lncRNA from 1 species